rnacentral:rRNA from 1 species
UAGGGAAUCUUCGGCAAUGGGGGGAACCCUGACCGAGCAACGCCGCGUGAGUGAAGAAGGUUUUCGGAUCGUAAAGCUCUGUUGUUAAGGAAGAACGAGUGUGAGAAUGGAAAGUUCAUACUGUGACGGUACUUAACCAGAAAGGGACGGCUAACUACGUGCCAGCAGCCGCGGUGAUACGUAGGUCCCGAGCGUUGUCCGGAUUUAUUGGGCGUAAAGCGAGCGCAGGCGGUCAAUUAAGUCUGAUGUGAAAGCCCCCGGCUCAACCGGGGAGGGUCAUUGGAAACUGGUUGACUUGAGUGCAGAAGAGGAGAGUGGAAUUCAAUGUGUAGCGGUGAAAUGCGUAGAUAUAUGGAGGAACACCAGUGGCGAAGGCGACUCUCUGGUCUGUAACUGACGCUGAGGCUCGAAAGCGUGGGUAGCAAACAGG